UCUAGCUUUAUUUCUAUACUUUGGUGUAGAUGAUAGAACUUUACUCGCUCUGAUAUCAUUAGUUGCUAGUUAUUUCACUUCUUUUAUUUGUUCUAUCUCUUGCUUUACUUCCGCUUUUAUUGUAGACGCCUUAUAUGUGUAGACAUAUGGCGGGUCUGGGCACGCUACCGGGAGAGCCUCCGCCGGUCCCGGGGCGUGACAA
rnacentral:lncRNA from 1 species